rnacentral:rRNA from 1 species
UACGAAGGGGGCUAGCGUUGUUCGGAAUCACUGGGCGUAAAGGGCGCGUAGGCGGCUUUAUAAGUCGGGGGUGAAAGCCUGUGGCUCAACCACAGAAUUGCCUUUCGAUACUGUAGAGCUUGAGACCGGAAGAGGUAAGUGGAACUGCGAGUGUAGAGGUGAAAUUCGUAGAUAUUCGCAAGAACACCAGUGGCGAAGGCGGCUUACUGGUCCGGUUCUGACGCUGAGGCGCGAAAGCGUGGGGGAGCGAACAGG